GGCGUUCACUCACAACCUUUUCGUGAGCUCGGAUGAAACCCGCGCUUCUCCUAGGAACGUUCUCCGAAACUCUGCUUUAAUACCUGUCAGGACUUCUCUCGCCUAUUACCGUUCAUUGUUUUAAAGUACGCUCGAAGUUCACACGUUUCGACAAUAUGCAAAUAUAAAAGAGGCCCACGAUGGUUGCCGGGGGAUGACAUGACAUGGCUAAUGAGGAAAGGCCCAUCACGAGACCACACACACACACACGAAGAUGAGAUCAGAGAGUAAACAGAGACCAAAUGUGCUCUAAUAAAACUACAGAUCUUCUAGCCGGCUCAUUUCCAUAAAGCAGUUCCUGCACAAAUCAGGACUAUGGAAUCUGCAGUGAUAGAAGUCUGUGUACAUGCAUCUUCCUCCAUAUGAAUACUGGCAUAAAAAAGGCGAUGAAUUCAUUUGUUUAAGGGCGUAAAAGUUCUUUACCACAGUUAAUCCAUUUAAUUAACUCAAGUAAAAGAUGGAUAAAACCCUUUUAUCAAAGCUCAACAUGUAAGAAAUAUAAUCUGCAGAAAUAUAAUCUCACAGGUUGGCUACAAAUUAUAACAUGCAAUAAGAGAGAGAGAGACAUUUAUGAAUAUCAUCCAAGCUCAAUAUAUAUAAAACGUAUGUAUAUAUGUCUAACAAAAUAACAUAAAUUAAAUUGAAUGUUUAGCUUCCUAGCAUAAACUUGGAACGCCGUGCUUCGUUAUGUGCAUUAGAGAGAUACGCUGCCAUGAAAUAAUUAUCAGAUGUCAAGCUGUUCUGAUGCUCAGUUCCAUUUGUGCGGUUGUUAUGAUGAUGCCAUCCUGCCUUACAACUCACUCUCUCUCUCUCUCUCUAUCUCUCUCUCUCUGUGUGUGCAUCCUGUCUGCAAAUAUAUCUGCAAAUCUCAGGAUUCGCUUGGAAAGAUGCCAGCCGAGUGUCUUGUGAGCUGAGCUGGCAAAACGUCCAACCGUAUGUAAAAUACUGCCCCUCUGGUGAUAUCAGUCUUUAAAAGAGAGCUAAUUUCAUUUUUCAAAAGCAGCCGCUUGAUAGCUGCACAAUUACUCUGCGCUGCCCCGUCCCCUGUUUAAAGCCGCACAGACUUUUAUAUCAGGCGAGAGAUUUGUGGAUAUCUAAAUUGGAAGGUAAACCUGUAUAAACAGUAGUAAUUACCGUGCCAUUCACAGGGCCUGUUGUGCUCGUUCGGCAACAGCCACAGUGAUUAAAAUGAAUCUCCAUCGACUUCUCCAUUAAAUUGCUGGCAGUGGCGAUCCUUUGACCUUUCCCAUUGAUUGAACAUAACAAUCACAAUUCAAUUGUAAUGCAAAGAGAACAUUUGUUAUAAUGUACAUGAGAUGCAUGAGCCAUUUCCUAGAGGGUUGAGGUAAUCAAUGAAGUGACUUCAAAAGGAACCUGCACAAAGACUCAUUCUAGUCAGAAUCUGCACUACACAUCGAACCUAACGUCUGUUGCAUCACUCAAUACAUUUGCAUCCUAUAGAAAAAAGAUACUGUGAUUCCAAAACCCUUGGUGUCAUUUCACGCUAGCUACAAUAGCCCAAAUACUGACGGGUACGAUCCGACGUUCAUUUGUUUCGAUUUUUGCGACGCUAAGCCUUCCCAGAAUUCACUGCAUGUGCCACAGAGGUCUAAGAAAAUGAUUACGGCUGACAUUUCGCUGAAUUAUUUCCCUCUCUUUUUUUUUUGCAUUGUUCUCUGUGCAUCCACUGAUUAGUAACAUCUGUAUGUGACACUGGUGCGGUUCCAGAAACCCUUCUGCUCGUAAAACGCCAUUAAACUUGCUGCGAAACUA